rnacentral:rRNA from 1 species
UUCGGGGGUACUCGAGUGGCGAACGGGUGAGUAACACGUGGGCAAUCUGCCCUGCACUUCGGGAUAAGCCUGGGAAACUGGGUCUAAUACCGGAUAGGACCUUUAGGCGCAUGUCUUUAGGUGGAAAGCUUUUGCGGUGUGGGAUGGGCCCGCGGCCUAUCAGCUUGUUGGUGGGGUGAUGGCCUACCAAGGCGACGACGGGUAGCCGGCCUGAGAGGGUGUCCGGCCACACUGGGACUGAGAUACGGCCCAGACUCCUACGGGAGGCAGCAGUGGGGAAUAUUGCACAAUGGGCGCAAGCCUGAUGCAGCGACGCCGCGUGGGGGAUGACGGCCUUCGGGUUGUAAACCUCUUUCACCAUCGACGAAGGUCCGGGUUUUCUCGGAUUGACGGUAGGUGGAGAAGAAGCACCGGCCAACUACGUGCCAGCAGCCGCGGUAAUACGUAGGGUGCGAGCGUUGUCCGGAAUUACUGGGCGUAAAGAGCUCGUAGGUGGUUUGUCGCGUUGUUCGUGAAAUCUCACGGCUUAACUGUGAGCGUGCGGGCGAUACGGGCAGACUAGAGUACUGCAGGGGAGACUGGAAUUCCUGGUGUAGCGGUGGAAUGCGCAGAUAUCAGGAGGAACACCGGUGGCGAAGGCGGGUCUCUGGGCAGUAACUGACGCUGAGGAGCGAAAGCGUGGGGAGCGAACAGGAUUAGAUACCCUGGUAGUCCACGCCGUAAACGGUGGGUACUAGGUGUGGGUUUCCUUCCUUGGGAUCCGUGCCGUAGCUAACGCAUUAAGUACCCCGCUGGGGAGUACGGCCGCAAGGCUAAAACUCAAAGGAAUUGACGGGGGCCCGCACAAGCGGCGGAGCAUGUGGAUUAAUUCGAUGCAACGCGAAGAACCUUACCUGGGUUUGACAUGCACAGGACGCGUCUAGAGAUAGGCGUUCCCUUGUGGCCUGUGUGCAGGUGGUGCAUGGCUGUCGUCAGCUCGUGUCGUGAGAUGUUGGGUUAAGUCCCGCAACGAGCGCAACCCUUGUCUCAUGUUGCCAGCGGGUAAUGCCGGGGACUCGUGAGAGACUGCCGGGGUCAACUCGGAGGAAGGUGGGGAUGACGUCAAGUCAUCAUGCCCCUUAUGUCCAGGGCUUCACACAUGCUACAAUGGCCGGUACAAAGGGCUGCGAUGCCGCAAGGUUAAGCGAAUCCUUUUAAAGCCGGUCUCAGUUCGGAUUGGGGUCUGCAACUCGACCCCAUGAAGUCGGAGUCGCUAGUAAUCGCAGAUCAGCAACGCUGCGGUGAAUACG